GACUAUGGCCAUGCCACUCUGAGCAAGCCCAAUGUCUGAUCUCAUGAAGCUAAGCAGGGGCGAGCCUGGGGGUUAGUACUUGGAUGGGAGACCACCUAGAAAUACCAGAUGCUGUAGGCA
rnacentral:rRNA from 1 species